GAUGAACGCUGGCGGCGUGCCUAAUACAUGCAAGUCGAGCGAAUGGAUUAAGAGCUUGCUCUUAUGAAGUUAGCGGCGGACGGGUGAGUAACACGUGGGUAACCUGCCCAUAAGACUGGGAUAACUCCGGGAAACCGGGGCCAAUACCGGAUAACAUUUUGAACCGCAUGGUUCGAAAUUGAAAGGCGGCUUCGGCUGUCACUUAUGGAUGGACCCGCGUCGCAUUAGCUAGUUGGUGAGGUAACGGCUCACCAAGGCAACGAUGCGUAGCCGACCUGGGAGGGUGAUCGGCCACACUGGGACUGAGACACGGCCCAGAAUCUUACGGGAGGCAGCAGUAGGGAAUCUUCCGCAAUGGACGAAAGUCUGACGGAGCAACGCCGCGUGAGUGAUGAAGGCUUUCGGGUCGUAAAACUCUGUUGUUAGGGAAGAACAAGUGCUAGUUGAAUAAGCUGACACCUUGACGGUACCUAACCAGAAAGCCACGGCUAACUACGUGCCAGCAGCCGCCGUAA
rnacentral:rRNA from 1 species